CAGUCGCCGCGGGAAUACGUAAGGUGCAAGCGUUAAUCGGAAUUACUGGGCGUAAAGCGUGCGCAGGCGGUUAUAUAAGACAGAUGUGAAAUCCCCGGGCUCAACCUGGGAACUGCAUUUGUGACUGUAUAGCUAGAGUACGGCAGAGGGGGAUGGAAUUCCGCGUGUAGCAGUGAAAUGCGUAGAUAUGCGGAGGAACACCGAUGGCGAAGGCAAUCCCCUGGGCCUGUACUGACGCUCAUGCACGAAAGCGUGGGGAGCAAACAGGAUUAGAUACCCCUGUAGUCCCUGUCUCUUAUAC
rnacentral:rRNA from 1 species